CCGGCGAUGUCCGAAUGGGGAAACCCAGUGCAAUUCGUUGCACUAUCGUUAACUGAAUACAUAGGUUAACGAGGCGAACCGGGGGAACUGAAACAUCUAAGUACCCCGAGGAAAAGAAAUCAACCGAGAUUCCCCCAGUAGCGGCGAGCGAACGGGGAGCAGCCCAGAGUCUGAAUCAGCUUGUGUGUUAGUGGAACGGUCUGGAAAGUCCGACGGUACAGGGUGAUAGUCCCGUACACCAAAAUGCACAGGCUGUGAACUCGAAGAGUAGGGCGGGACACGUGGUAUCCUGUCUGAAUAUGGGGGGACCAUCCUCCAAGGCUAAAUACUCCUGACUGACCGAUAGUGAACCAGUACCGUGAGGGAAAGGCGAAAAGAACCCCGGCGAGGGGAGUGAAAAAGAACCUGAAACCGUGUACGUACAAGCAGUGGGAGCACCUUCGGGUGUGACUGCGUACCUUUUGUAUAAUGGGUCAGCGACUUAUAUUCUGUAGCAAGGUUAACCGUAUAGGGGAGCCGCAGGGAAACCGAGUCUUAACUGGGCGUUAAGUUGCAGGGUAUAGACCCGAAACCCGGUGAUCUAGCCAUGGGCAGGUUGAAGGUUGGGUAACACUAACUGGAGGACCGAACCGACUAAUGUUGAAAAAUUAGCGGAUGACUUGUGGCUGGGGGUGAAAGGCCAAUCAAACCGGGAGAUAGCUGGUUCUCCCCGAAAGCUAUUUAGGUAGCGCCUCGUGAAUUCAUCUUCGGGGGUAGAGCACUGUUUCGGCUAGGGGGUCAUCCCGACUUACCAACCCGAUGCAAACUACGAAUACCGAAGAAUGUUAUCACGGGAGACACACGGCGGGUGCUAACGUCCGUCGUGAAGAGGGAAACAACCCAGACCGCCAGCUAAGGUCCCAAAGUCAUGGUUAAGUGGGAAACGAUGUGGGAAGGCACAGACAGCCAGGAUGUUGGCUUAGAAGCAGCCAUCAUUUAAAGAAAGCGUAAUAGCUCACUGGUCGAGUCGGCCUGCGCGGAAGAUGUAACGGGGCUAAACCAUGCACCGAAGCUGCGGCAGCGACACUAUGUGUUGUUGGGUAGGGGAGCGUUCUGUAAGCCUGCGAAGGUG
rnacentral:rRNA from 1 species